ensembl:lncRNA
AGCAUCCUAAGUGUUUUCUUAGAGCCAGAAAGUUACGCAGCCAAGUGCUGAGAAGCUAAGACUAUGAUCAAACUCAAUACAUUACCAGACCUCCAACAAUUCGGUCUGCUCCCACCGUUGCAGAGUUUCUCCAAGCUUUGCAGGCAGUUUUCCAAUGGAAAAAGCUGUGUGUGCAAUGCUGCAGCAUUCUACAAGAAUGUGAUGACUUCUUCAAGACUGUCAGUGGAAAGCAGGCAGGCAGGUUACCCAGCUGGUCUCCUGCCAGCCCACCUUCCCAAGGCAUUCUGGCAGCACAGCCACCUAUGCAAUGCCCAGUGUGGGCUUCAGGCUGCCAACUUUCCAGCUCUGCAGGCAAAAGGGAUGGUAUGAAGCUAUUGCUUUGUUUCCAUGGUGGAUGAGUGCUUGAAGUAGCAGAACAGUCUGGUACCUUUUCUACUUGAUUAUUCCUAGGCUGAUAGGCUUUGUGGGUAUCUGUCAGAGACCUCACUGCUUUGCUGUGCUCUUCAGCACCCGGACAUCACUACCCUCUUUUAACCAAUUAUAUGAGGCCAAGAAGAAUAGAUAUUUGGAGAUAGAAGUUUCUCAAAAACUUGCCAUCCGUAGAGGAAAAUAAGAAGAAACUUUACAAAUAUGAAAAGCUGUCCACUUAAAGAUACUUUGUGAAGAGAGAUGACAAGUUCAAGUUUUCUUGCUGAUCAAGAUUUUGUUUCCUUUACCUUCUGAAUCCCCAAAGAAUGUGAAGUUCUGCAAUAUUUUCUAUGGGACAGAAGUUGUUAUGACAUUUAUGGGCAAUCUCUUUCUGCAGAUCAUAGAAUGUCCUAGGUUGUAAGGGAUCUUAAAGAUGAUCCGACUCCAAUCCUAUGAUGUGGGCUAAUUACUUCUCACCAGCUCAGGCUUCCCAGGGCCCCAUCCAACCUGGACUUGAGCACCUCCAGGGAUGGAGCAGCCACAGCUUCCCUGGGUAGCAGUGCCAGGGCCUCACCACCCUCUACUGCACAUUCUCUUUAUGUAGCUCUAAAUACAAAAC